GAUGAACGCUGGCGGCGUGCUUAACACAUGCAAGUCGAACGGUGAAGGCGGAGCUUGCUCUGCUGGAUCAGUGGCGAACGGGUGAGUAACACGUGAGCAAUCUGCCCCUGACUCUGGGAUAAGCGCUGGAAACGGCGUCUAAUACUGGAUACGAGCUGCGAAGGCAUCUUCAGCAGCUGGAAAGAACUUCGGUCAGGGAUGAGCUCGCGGCCAUCAGCUUGUUGGUGAGGUAACGGCUCACCAAGGCGUCGACGGGUAGCCGGCCUGAGAGGGUGACCGGCCACACUGGGACUGAGACACGGCCCAGACUCCUACGGGAGGCAGCAGUGGGGAAUAUUGCACAAUGGGCGAAAGCCUGAUGCAGCAACGCCGCGUGAGGGACGACGGCCUUCGGGUUGUAAACCUCUUUUAGCAGGGAAGAAGCGAAAGUGACGGUACCUGCAGAAAAAGCGCCGGCUAACUACGUG
rnacentral:rRNA from 1 species